GAUGAACGCUGGCGGCGUGCCUAAUACAUGCAAGUCGAGCGAAUGGAUUAAGAGCUUGCUCUUAUGAAGUUAGCGGCGGACGGGUGAGUAACACGUGGGUAACCUGCCCAUAAGACUGGGAUAACUCCGGGAAACCGGGGCUAAUACCGGAUAACAUUUUGAACCGCAUGGUUCGAAAUUGAAAGGCGACUUCGGCUGUCACUUAUGGAUGGACCCGCGUCGCAUUAGCUAGUUGGUGAGGUAACGGGUCACCAAGGCAACGAUGCGUAGCCGGCCUGGGGGGGGUAUCGGCCACACUGGGACUGAGACACGGGCCAGACUCCUACGGGAGGCAGCAGUAGGGAAUCUUCCGCAAUGGACGAAAGUCUGACGGAGCAACGCCGCGUGAGUGAUGAAGGCUUUCGGGUCGUAAAACUCUGUUGUUAGGGAAGAACAAGUGCUAGUUGAAUAAGCUGGCACCUUGACGGUACCUAACCAGAAAGCCACGGCUAACUACGUGCCAGCCGCCGCCGUAA
rnacentral:rRNA from 1 species